rnacentral:rRNA from 1 species
CCUACGGGUGGCAGCAGUCGAGAAUCAUUCACAAUGGGGGAAACCCUGAUGGUGCGACGCCGCGUGGGGGAAUGAAGGUCUUCGGAUUGUAAACCCCUGUCAUGUGGGAGCAAAUUAAAAAGAUAGUACCACAAGAGGAAGAGACGGCUAACUCUGUGCCAGCAGCCGCGGUAAUACAGAGGUCUCAAGCGUUGUUCGGAAUCACUGGGCGUAAAGCGUGCGUAGGCUGUUUCGUAAGUCGUGUGUGAAAGGCGCGGGCUCAACCCGCGGACGGCACAUGAUACUGGGAGACUAGAGUAAGGGAGGGGGAACCGGAAUUCUCGGUGUAGCAGUGAAAUGCGUAGAUAUCGAGAGGGACACUCGUGGCGAGGGCGGGUUCCUGGACAUUAACUGACGCUGAGGCACGAAGGCCAGGGGAGCGAAAGGGAUUAGAUACCCGAGUAGUC